rfam:Kwoniella mangroviensis CBS 10435 unplaced genomic scaffold supercont2.1, whole genome shotgun sequence.
GCUCUUGUAGUUUAGUGGUUAUAAUUUUGCACUUGUAUUCGAUACAAGAACGUCCGAACGGUCAUGCAAGGGUCUUGAGUUCAAAUCUCAACGGGAGCA